GGCUUGCUGUGUGGGAGCCAAGCGCUCAUUAGCACUUGUAUGGGAACCUCUGGCCGGUCUUGAGAGUUAAUUUCUUGGCAAACAAUGAGAGUCUUCAUGAAGCACUUCUGCAGAGUGAGGACAAAUUUGGGAAUUUCAGAACUGGAAGAAAUCUUGGAUUAGAGCAAGGAACAGAAAUUCAAGUGUCUAGAUUGAGGAAUUAUAGUUUCUAGCCAUGAAGUCCCUACGGAGAUGAAGAGUGGGAAGCAGUACAGUAACUGGUUGAAACCGUUCCACAAGGGAAAUUUCACUAGAUUUCAGAGAUACUGAUAGAUUACAAAUACUCUGGAAAUCUACCACUCAAGCUUGUGGACGCUUGAGUAAACUUUGGAUGACUAAUAGGUAACUAACUCCUGGUGAGGGCAAAAUAAAGCAGAUAAAUGAUAUAUGUUAAACUAGUAAAUUAUUUAAAGUUUCUACCUUCUUAUUAGGGCAAUUUCUGUUUUGUCCGAAACAUAAGGAAAAUGGAUUCUGUUUAUGUGGAAAAGCUGAAAACUGUUUCUUUAUUGAGUUUCCAUAUUCAUAACUCCAGCAAAUAAUUAAUGUAACAAAUCUGAUUUCAUGAAAAGUAAUUCAAUUUUAUGAUGUCUACAACAAUUAAAU
ensembl:lncRNA